rnacentral:tRNA from 1 species
UUAAUUGAAGCCAAAGGCAUAUUAUUGUUAAUAAUACAUUUGAAAAUUUAAACUUUUCCAAUUAAA